GGUGAGUAACACGUGGGCAACCUGCCCUGCAGACUGGGAUAACUUCGGGAAACCGGAGCUAAUACCGGAUAAUCCAUUUUACUUCAUGGUGAGAUGUUGAAAGGCGCUUUCGCGCCACUGCAGGAUGGGCCCGCGGUGCAUUAGCUAGUUGGUGGGGUAACGGCCUACCAAGGCGACGAUGCAUAGCCGACCUGAGAGGGUGAUCGGCCACAUUGGGACUGAGACACGGCCCAAACUCCUACGGGAGGCAGCAGUAGGGAAUCUUCCACAAUGGACGAAAGUCUGAUGGAGCAACGCCGCGUGAGUGAUGAAGGUUUUCGGAUCGUAAAACUCUGUUGUAAGGGAAGAACAAGUACGUUAGGAAAUGAACGUACCUUGACGGUACCUUAUUAGAAAGCCCACGGCUAACUACGUGCCAGCAGCCGCGGUAAUACGUAGGUGGCAAGCGUUGUCCGGAUUUAUUGGGCGUAAAGCGCGCGCAGGUGGUUUCUUAAGUCUGAUGUGAAAUCUCGCGGCUCAACCGCGAGCGGUCAUUGGAAACUGGGGGAACUUGAGUGCAGAAGAGGAUAGUGGAAUUCCAAGUGUAGCGGUGAAAUGCGUAGAGAUUUGGAGGAACACCAGUGGCGAAGGCGACUGUCUGGUCUGUAACUGACACUGAGGCGCGAAAGCGUGGGGAGCAAACAGGAUUAGAUACCCUGGUAGUCCACGCCGUAAACGAUGAGUGCUAAGUGUUAGGGGGUUUCCGCCCCUUAGUGCUGCAGCUAACGCAUUAAGCACUCCGCCUGGGGAGUACGACCGCAAGGUUGAAACUCAAAGGAAUUGACGGGGGCCCGCACAAGCGGUGGAGCAUGUGGUUUAAUUCGAAGCAACGCGAAGAACCUUACC
rnacentral:rRNA from 1 species